AGUGAACGCUGGCGGUAGGCCUAACACAUGCAAGUCGAACGGCAGCACAGUAAGAGCUUGCUCUUACGGGUGGCGAGUGGCGGACGGGUGAGGUAUACAUCGGAAUCUACUUUUUCGUGGGGGAUAACGUAGGGAAACUUACGCUAAUACCGCAUACGACCUACGGGUGAAAGCAGGGGAUCUUCGGACCUUGCGCGAUUGAAUGAGCCGAUGUCGGAUUAGCUAGUUGGCGGGGUAAAGGCCCACCAAGGCGACGAUCCGUAGCUGGUCUGAGAGGAUGAUCAGCCGCACUGGAACUGAGACACGGUCCAGACUCCUACGGGAGGCAGCAGUGGGGAAUAUUGGACAAUGGGCGCAAGCCUGAUCCAGCCAUACCGCGUGGGUGAAGAAGGCCUUCGGGUUGUAAAGCCCUUUUGUUGGGGAAGAAAAGCAGCAGGUUAAUACCCCGCUGUUCUGACGGUACCCAAAGAAUAAGCACCGGCUAACUUCGUG
rnacentral:rRNA from 1 species